UUUUCCGAUUAUCCAUGUUCCUUAAUCCUGAAUAUUCCCGUGUUCCUAAAUUCCUAUUAUCUAUAUUCCUUAACCCUUUAGAAUUAAGAAAACUGUUGAAAAACAUAAAAAAAUAAAAAAGCAGCUGAGAGAAAGGUAAGUAAUAAAAGGUAAGUAGAGGUAAGUAAAGGUAAGUAUUUUACAAAUAAUUUUUGAAAAUUUUCGAAAAUGUAAAUAAACAAACCGAGAAUGUAAACAAACAUUGAAAAUGUAAAUAAACAAACCAAUGUUUGUAAACAAACCGAAAUUUUAACGCCAGGCCUUUAAAAUUUCGAAAAUUUCGAAAAAUUUUAUAAAAAUAAACAUUGGAAACGUAAAUAAACAAACCGAGAAUGUAAACAAACAUUGAAAAUGUAAAUAAACAAACCAAUAAUGUAAACAAACAUUGAAAAUGUAAAUAAACAAACCAAUGUUUGUAAACAAACCGAAAUUUUAACGCCAGGCCUUUAAAAUUUCGAAAAUUUCGAAAAAUUUUAUAAAAAUAAACAUUGGAAACGUAAAUAAACAAAUCGAGAAUGUAAACAAACAUUGGAAAUGUAAAUAAACAAACCAAUGUUUGUAAACAAACCGAAAUUUUAACGCCAGGGCUUUAAAUUUUCGAAAAUUUUUUAAAAAUUUAAUGUA